UGGUUCGGACAUAAAAGGUGGCUUCGGCUACCACUUACAGAUGGACCCGCGGCGCAUUAUCUAGUUGGUGAGGUAACGGCUCACCAAGGCGACGAUGCGUANCCGACCUGAGAGGGUGAUCGGCCACACUGGGACUGANACACGGCCCAGACUCCUACGGGAGGCAGCAGUAGGGAAUCUUCCGCAAUGGACGAAAGUCUGACGGAGCAACGCCGCGUGAGUGAUGAAGGUUUUCGGAUCGUAAAGCUCUGUUGUUAGGGAAGAACAAGUGCCGUUCAAAUAGGGCGGCACCUUGACGGUACCUAACCAGAAAGCCACGGCUAACUACGUGCCAGCAGCCGCGGUAAUACGUAGGUGGCAAGCGUUGUCCGGAAUUAUUGGUCGUAAAGGGCUCGCAGGCGGUUUCUUAAGUCUGAUGUGAAAGCCCCCGGCUCAACCGGGGAGGGUCAUUGGAAACUGGGGAACUUGAGUGCAGAAUAGGAGAGUGGAAUUCCACGUGUAGCGGUGAAAUGCGUAGAGAUGUGGAGGAACACCAGUGGCGAAGGCGACUCUCUGGUCUGUAACUGACGCUGAGGAGCGAAAGCGUGGGGAGCGAACAGGAUUAGAUACCCUGGUAGUCCACGCCGUAAACGAUGAGUGCUAAGUGUUAGGGGGUUUCCGCCCCUUAGUGCUGCAGCUAACGCAUUAAGCACUCCGCCUGGGGAGUACGGUCGCAAGACUGAAACUCAAAGGAAUUGACGGGGGCCCGCACAAGCGGUGGAGCAUGUGGUUUAAUUCGAAGCAACGCGAAGAACCUUACCAGGUCUUGACAUCCUCUGACAAUCCUAGAGAUAGGACGUCCCCUUCGGGGGCAGAGUGACAGGUGGUGCAUGGUUGUCGUCAGCUCGUGUCGUGAGAUGUUGGGUUAAGUCCCGCAACGAGCGCAACCCUUGAUCUUAGUUGCCAGCAUUCAGUUGGGCACUCUAAGGUGACUGCCGGUGACAAACCGGAGGAAGGUGGGGAUGACGUCAAAUCAUCAUGCCCCUUAUGACCUGGGCUACACACGUGCUACAAUGGACAGAACAAAGGGCAGCGAA
rnacentral:rRNA from 1 species